AAAUGGGCUGGACACGGAGACCAAACACUGAAUAAAUAAUGUGGAAACAUGCCAGUGAAUAUAAUUAAAAAUAACAUAAGUGAGAAUAAUGGUGGGAUCCGUCGACAAGCAACUCGUCGCACAAAUAUGCAAUGAUCGUGAGAUUUCGUUACAUUUCCGACGUCCUUGAACCAUGUACUUCUAUUGUUUACGAUGAUUGAUCGGAGGCUCAACCAACAACAUGAUUGAUGUUUUCUUCAAUGAUCGUGAGAUUUCGAUGCAUUUCCGCACGUCCUUGUCACAAGCGAUCAAGAUCCAAAUGUCCUCAUCAUCUCGGUACUUAAUACUGAAACUCUCCCUCUCCAAGUGCAGCCUCUCGAUCACAUUAUUUUCUAACUCUGCAAUCCCUGAUGAAUCAGAUAAAUCAAACCUUAUAGUCACACCAUUGAACAUUGCCCUUACAGUCACCUCAUUCAAGGUUUGGCUUAUCUGAUCAACAGCAGGUGCUUUUUCCCCGGGAGGCAAACCCGAAUGAAAGUUUUUUCCAGCUUGUUCAUCGUCACUUGAUCUUCUCCUAAGAUUAGAUGACAUGUUUCCUUUUAUGCUUUUCUUGCCUCGUCGCCAGUCAUUAAUACCAAGACCUCUACACUUGCGUUUGAGUGUCGAUCGACUAACUAACAUAUUGAACAUUCUAAAUAAGAUGCACAGCUAUAAUAAUGGUUCAACAGAAAAUAACUUUUUUUUGAAUAAUGAAAGCUGAAAGAAGUGCAAGAACAUAGAAGAGACCGACUCAACCAUGAAUUCUUACGAAGAAAUUUAGUUUUAGUGUUUCUAACUGUGUAAUUUGUUCGGCAUUUCUUCACUAGAUUAAUAUGUAUGAAUUGUACACCUUAAUUAUCUGUACUCGACUACAUUGGCUUUGCAGCAGAUGAAAGUGUUCAAGAAUCACCUGUUAAUAAUAUUGCUUAUGCUCUCACUAAUGAAGAUGUGAACUAUGCUCUAAAUAAUAAAGACGACAUGAACCUCGAGAAUGUUAGUAAGCAUUUCGGAAGACCACUCAAUGAUGCAGCAAAGAGCUUUGGAGGUAGGUUAUAUUCUACUGUACUUCUAUCUUUCAACUUACAUUAUUCCCAAAACAUUCAUUGCCUAAGCAUUGUUGUGUAUUUAUUUUGAUAUUGAACAUUUUAGUUAGCCGAUCCACAUUCAAGCGCAUAUGUAGAGGGCUCGGUAUCAAGAGGUGGCAAUCCGGGAAGAGAAGAAUGAAUGGUAACUUUUCAUCUAGGCUCGGAAAAGGAAUAAAUCAGGAGCAACCAGGUAGAAGAAAUUUUGGUAGCACCAGCAUGGCAGCUGUGAAUGAAACAGUUGUUGUGCAUUCUAGCCAAGACUUGAAUAAGAUGAUUGUAAAGGCAACUUAUAAGGAUGUUGCAAUAAGGUUUAAACUACCUGAUUUAUCAGGAAUUGCAGAGUUGGAAAAUAAUGUGAUUGAGAGGCUGCAUUUGAAGAGAAAUAAUUUCACCAUCAAGUAUCAAGACGAGGAGGGUGACUUGGUUUUGAUUGCCUGUGACAAGGAUGUGCGAGAAUGUAUUGAAAUCUCGAGAUCUUUGAAGGAAACGACAGUCAAAUUGUUGCUUGAUCUGCCUCUUAAUCACAAUGCACUUUGAAAGCAUAUGAGUACUACUCAGUACUCUCUUCCAUUUUUUCCCUUUUCCAACAAAAAUGUGCUUAAACUUGAGUUUCUGUGACAAUUUGCUUGCUGUCUUCGUGUGGCGGAAUGUAGAUCACGGUAAUACAAUUCAUCUUGAUAUAAAGUCUCGAUAUAAAGUCCAUUUUUUGGUAUAUAUUUCUAAAUCUUUUGACAGUAAAAUUAUUAUUUUUGAAAUUUGUUUUAUUUGAAUUAUUAAUCAUAUAUUUUAUUCAAUUUUGUUUAAAAAAUUAUAAUUUUAAGUAUAAUUAAAGAUUUAGAAAUGUGUGUCAAAAAGUUCACACGCAUUAUGCACCGGUUUGUUUAGUGGAAGUUGUUUUGGCUUAUACUUUUUUUGACCUGUAAAUUAGUAGAAUCACUUUUAAAAAGAUGAGAAUUCUUAUUAUUCUAUUAGAAUUUCUAUUUUUUUUCAAAUAUUUUUCUUUGUUUUAAGCAAAAAAUUACUUUUUUUAAACUUCUCCGCACGGUCGCUGUAUUUCAACAAGGAGGCAGUACUUCGUUAUACCUCAGUAAUAGACGAAUUGUUAAUGCCUGUUUUCUAAAAACACUUUAUCAUUGACCGGGCAGAGAAGUUUAGUGGGUUAAAUAAUGACUAACCACAGAAACUUCCUAGUCUCUAAGCUGUAGUACAUGAAUAACUUGUUGAACCUUCCUAUUCGUGUGAUCCUUGGUGAACCUUUCACACAUGUCCGGGUCCACCUAUGUGGCUAUGUAUAUGCCCCGGGUCUCUCUCUUUUAUUUAAUCAGUAUAUAUGUCAUGUUUACGGUAAAAGAAAUUAGUUGUGAGAGACGUAAAAUUUAGAUAAUAAUAUAAACGUAUAUAAGACUUACAAAAUUUAUUUUUGUAAAUAAAUAUAAAUGCUAUUUGAAAAUGUUAAAGGAUUUUCUAACGAUGUGAGCUAAAAUUUAUAGAGAUCCUACAAGAAACUCAUUAUUAGAAUAUGAUAGAAUCUUGAUUUAUAAUUCUAACAAAUUUUGUAAUGUUAAUUUUUUUUUGUAAAUAGAUAUAAAUGCUAUUUGAAAAUGUUGAAGGAUUUUCUAACGACGUGAGCUAAAAUUUAUGGAGAUCCUACAAGAAACUCAUCAUUAGUAUAUGAUAGAAUCUUGAUUUAUAAUUCUAACAAAUUUUAUAAUGUUUUAUAUUGAAAUUUUAAAUUUUGUAACAAAAUUUCUACCGAACUUAGUACAUUAAAAUAAUUUGAAAUUAUUUAUAAAAUUCAAAAUAACAACAAUUUAUUAAUGUCAAAACAUAAUCCAUUAUCAUAACAAAUUUAUAUUCUUUCGUAGAAAUCAAAUCUAUUAAUAUUAAUAAAUUAAACAAAGAUUAUAUAUUAUUAUUUAAAAGUAUUCACAAAAUCUCUUUUAGCAUCAAAAAGUAAGUGUAAGAAAUCAAAAAGUCUGUAAAAAUGGGGCCAGAGAGUAUAUAAUAUCCCACCACCCCUGGUGGGUACUUUGUCUUUUUCUUGUGUGUGUCUUUUCCGCGUGUUUAGUCAGCAAAACAAGUAUAUAAAUGAAGCAGAGAUCCUGGUACUUCAACAGAACUGCAAAUCAACUCUUCCUUCCUUUUUUUUUCCCUUCCUAUUCUAUUGUUUCUAUUUUCAGAUGUCUCCUCCUCACCAAUUCAUACUCACCAACUAUUCUAUGCAAUUCAAUGUUGCAUUAAUCAACAUAGCCCCCACACGAGCCCGAGAAAAUAAUAAUCACGCGAUUGUUGGCAUUUUGGGAAUAGCUGUUACAGUCCUCCUCAGCGCCUUGCAACUCAAGUACCAAGCAGGAACUGAUUCUGCAUUCCAAGAUCACCCCAGAGCCAUGGUUUUCGCUAUAGCAAGUUUCCUUGUUUUCUGCUUGGUAUGCGACUUGGAACAAUACUUUCGCUCUACUCAUAAUAGUGCAGCUUUUGCAACAGUACUACACCACAUCCUCAGAUUGUCUGGUUUCAUUUCACUUGCAUCUUUGGCCUUUGUCAUUUUCUCGCCAUCCACAAGCUCAAGGACGUCGCUCAUUGUUUAUCUGAUUUUCCCCGGGUUUUUUUCAGCAAGGUCGGUUCUUCACUGGAUCCAGAAUAGAAAGUUACGUGGAAACGGAGGAGCCUGCAAUUUCCAUAAUUUACACAGUGACUAUUUGAACUACAUAGAUACUCUUUCAGUGUACCGCAGAGCUCCUGAGAAUCUUGUUUAGUCACUUCUGGUUCCCUAGUUGUUUUUGGUUUACAAUUCAGCAUGUCACGUUAAAUGAGGGGGCUUUUGGUUGGUGAUUAAUGAGCUCGGUUAACAAGAAUCAGAACCUCAAACCCAUGUGUUGGUAUUUGGGUUAACCAUUUUGUGGUAUGGAAUUUUUGAGUUGUAGGCUUUGUCAAGUUGUAAUUACUUUGAUUAACUGAUACAAAUCUUUAGCAGUGCAGCGAAAUUGAAGAUCACAUAAACCACAAAUAUCAAAGUCUUAAUUAGUUACUUCCUCCGUCCAGGUCAUUAGUUAACAAAUGGGCUGGACACGGCGACCAAACACUGAAUAAAUAAUGUAGAAACAUGCUGAGUGAAUAUAAUUAAAAACAACAAAAGUGAGAAUAAUGGUGGGAUCCAUCGACAAGCAAGUCGUCGCACAAAUAUGCAAUGAUCGUGAGAUUUCAUUACAUUUCCGACGUCCUUAACCAUGUACUUCUAUUGUUUAUGAUGAUUGAUCGGAGGAUCAACCAACAGCGUGAUUGAUGUUUUCUUUAAUGAUCGUGAGAUUUCGAUGCAUUUCCGUACGUCCUUGUCACAAGCGAUCAAGAUCCAAAUGUCCUCAUCAUCUUGGUACUUGAUACUGAAACUCUCCCUGUCCAAGUGAAGCCUCUCGAUCACAUUAUUUUCUAAUUCUGCAAUCCCUGAUGAAUCAGAUAAAUCAAACCUUAUAGUCACACCAUUGUACAUUGCCCUUACAGUCACCUCAUUCAAGGUUUGGCUUAUCUGAUCAACAGCAGGUGCUUUUUCCCCGGGAGGCAAACCCGAAUAAAAGUUUUUUCCAGCUUGUUCAUCGUCACUUAAUAUUCUCCUAAGAUUAGAUGACAUGUUUCCUUUUAUGCUUUGCUUGCCUCGUCGCCAGUCUUUAAUACCAAGACCUCUACACUUGCGUUUGAGUGUCGAUCGACUAAC
rnacentral:lncRNA from 1 species